AUUUCAGCUCAUUAUGCACUGAGUGAUGUGUUUGAUAAUCUGGUCAUAUCUCUUUGUAAAUUCACAACACUUCUCAACGCACCCGAGGUUUGUAUAUUCUAAAACACAAAUACUUUGGUUUUAGUUUUUCUAGUCAUUGUCAUUGAUUUACUAGAGGUGCUCUGUCAUUGGCUAAUGGGGUGCGAAUUCCCUUAUCCAAUUGUCAGAUUUGAUAAAGCAGUUAUGAAACAAAAAUGAAAUAAUUAACCAAUAUUUCACUGAUAUUACUAUGUCAGGUUUUCAGUAGCCCUGCAGACAGUUAAGCAAAUGCAAGCCUUGAAAAUAAAUCACCGGGCUUAUACGAAAGUUCAAAGGUUAAAAGAACUCAAAUGUUGUCAAGAAGACCCCGUAGUUCAUGAAGAUCAUUAUUGCUGCUUGAACAACCUUUCAUUUACAAUUCUACUAUAAUCUGUCACCAGAAAAAAGAUGUAUUUUUGCUGAAUCGUGCACUGUGACUUAUUUCAAUACUUUAAUUAAAAUUAUCCUGCCUCCAUAUCGUCCCGCCAAAGCCGGACCAGCCUCCUAAGGGACCUCAAUUCAAUUCAAUUUAUUUUGCAAAAAAAAUUUAACGGAUAAGAAAUUAAACAAUAAGGUAAAGGCAAGGUAGCCCAAACGAAAUCAGAAGGUUUAUAGUAAUGGACUCUUUUGUCUUACAAAUUUAACCCAAUAGAUCUGGAAGCAGCUGUAUGGAAGUAAAUCAGAUAUCAGAUUAUUACAAAAUACAGGGUGUAUAAAAAAAUUAACCGUAAUCUAUGUAGUAAUUUGACAGCCGUAUAAUUUCUCGAAUUAAUGAAUGCGUGAAAACACAAAGUCUUCUGCACAUUGGAAUUUAGGAUAACUUCUAUUUGUAUGAACAAAUACACAACUCAAAGAAAAAUGUUUAAAUUUAGCAUUAUUCAAGUCUGCAUAAGAUACAAAAUGGGCCAGCUUACUGCAGAGUAACGAAUAUUUAAAAUGUUAUGGCUAAUUUGAAUUUGAAAGGGUGUACAUUUUCUUUAUACACCCUGUAUAUGAAUAGUAUAUAAACAAGAAAUAAAAGUAGACAAUUUACAUAUUACUAAGCAUUUACAUAAUACCCACCCCCCUAUUCCUGGGUUGUUUCCAAAACCAAUAGCUAUUUUAAAACUCAUUCUUGUGUAUUCUGAUUUUCACGCGUAGGCCGGUGACAAUCUACCGCUGUCAUUUGGUAUGAAUCUGAAGGCUCAGCUUGCUGCGCGGACAAUGUUUGCACUCGCGGAUCGCCAUGGUGAUAUACUACGCGAGGGCUGGCAGAAUAUUCUCGAUUGUAUGUUGCAGUUAUAUCGAGCUAAGAUGUUACCCACUCCUAUGGUCGAGGU
rnacentral:lncRNA from 1 species